GACGAACGCUGGCGGCGUGCUUAACACAUGCAAGUCGAACGGAAAGGCGCAGCUUGCUGGGUGCUCGAGUGACGAACGGGCGGGUAACAAGCGGGUGGUCAGCCUCUAUCUACGGGUGAGGCAACGGCAACAAGGUGGAGUUCCGACCGGGACAAACGUUGAGCGGCGGGGGUGGAAAGUUAAUUCGGUUAGGGAUGGGACCGCGGGCUAGAAGCUUGUUGGAGGGGUAAUGGCCUACCAUGGCGGCGUCGGGUAGCAGGCCUGAGAGGGUGGACGGCCACAUUGGUACUGCGGUACGGCCCAGACUCCUACGGGCGGCAGCAGUGGGGAAUAUUGCGCAAUGGGCGCAAGCCUGAUGCAGCGACGCCGCGUGCGUGAUGACGGCCUUCGGGUUGUAAACCUCUUUCGACAGGGACGAAGCUUUGGUGACGGUACCUGUAUAAGAAGCACCGGCUAACUACGUG
rnacentral:rRNA from 1 species